rnacentral:misc_RNA from 1 species
UAUGCUUAGGAGCUGUGUGAUUGAUUUUGAAGGAAGUUGGGAAAAGUAUCUUCCUCUAAUAGAGUUUGCAUACAAUAACAGCUACCAAACAAGUAUUAAGAUGGCACCCUAUGAAGCCCUAUAUGGGAGGAGAUGUAGGACCCCUUAAUGUUGGACAGAGCUUAGUGAAGGCAAGAUAGUGGGUUCUGACUUGGUAAAACAAACAGAAGAAAAAGUCAAGAUUAUAAAGGAAAGAUUGAAGGGAGCUGCAGAUAGACAAAAAUCAUAUGCAGACUUGAAGAGAAAGGACAUAGAGUAUGCAAUCGGGGAUAAGGUAUUCCUUAAGGUUUCUCAAUGGAA